CCUAAAACUUUUCUACCUCCCCAUUUCAGCUUCUGUGUCUGUUUAUGCAAAUUUGUUUUCUGCUUCUCUGCUUCAGUUCUCAAAGCCUGGAUAUGUUUCUCUUUAAAUUUGCCGUUAUUCUUGUCUUCUCCACUAGUUCUGUAAUAUCCUCCAAACUUUCUCUCUCUAGCUCACAUCUCUCUUUCUCUGCAAGUUUUUUCUCGUUUUCUAGUUCACCCUUUUGUUGCCUCUUCCUCUAUGUCUACAGAUCUGAAUUUUCUAUAACCAAAAAAAGAGAGAAGACAGGGGUUUUUUUGGCAUCAUCUCUUCAUUUUAUUUCUUCUUUUUUUUUCCUUCUUUCCCUUCAAGCCGCUUCUUCCUAUUCUACAAUUUUUUUUCACUCUUCAAAACAGCACUGUUUUGGCGUCUGGUUUCCAGACACAAAACAAUGUCGUUCUGGAAGGUUGGGAGUGGCUUUGAAUGGAUUAUGGCCUGGGUUGCUAUAGAUCUGGGUUUUGGCCUUCUUCAUCUUUUCUUCUUCUCUUCUUCAGCCUCUUUUUUAUCUUCUCUUCAACUAUUUAACCUAUAUAAAAAAAUUAAUCCAUAAAUUAAUUUUUAACUCAAAUUAAUUUCAAAAUUAUUUCAAAUUUAAGUAAAAAGUAUAUUAAAAAUGUUAUAAAAAUACAAUACAUCAAAUAAUUCUAACUUAAUUUUGCUUGUUGAUGUGACCCUAGGAGGGCCUCCCAGUUACCUAGGAGGUAACCAUCAGAUUUCACGCCAAUUCGAAAACAAAGCUUGAGAGAAGCCCGGACCAAGGAAACAGAGUCGAGGUUCGACAACAAGACCAAUCCCUUGAAGCCCAAGGAUCCAGUUUGUGCAAGGUUAUAUUGGGUAAGAUGGAUCAUCGAUGCCAUCAAACCACGAAGCCUUAUGGGUCACCGAGACAACGAGCCCAAAGAAGCAUAUAAGACAAUGAGUUGUAGGCUUUUAGAUUGAUCCUAGAAGACGACGGUAGCAUGUCCAAGACGAAGCACGGAGGGGAGGUACUUGCGAGCGGGCGACCCGAGUCACCCGGCCCGUUAGGCCCCACCUGCGACCUAGUAAGCCGUGUGCCCGAGGAGAACGUGUGGCCCAUACCGCAUGCCACUGCAAGUGGGCCGAACGAGGCCCAUCAGGGAGACCCAAAGAUUGGUCCUCAUCCCAAGGCCCGAUCCAACAAACCCGCACCCGAGAGAGAAGGAAUCGGGCCAAACACCCGACCCAGCAGCAACCGCGGGCCCAACCGAGGAAAAACCUGGGCGGGCCGCAAACUCGUGAAGCCUGAAGGACGUGCACGUAUGUGCGGGCUUCCCUAGUGCGCACGGGUGAGGUGUGUGUAUGAAGGAAAGUGGCAGCGAAAUGCUGCUGCAUGAAGAGA